AACACGGAAGAGUGGAAUUUUAGAGUGCGAUGGACUGUGGCAAGGACUAAAAGCGGAGAGCUUGAAGACACAAACAGGGCUCCUAGAACCGAACAAAAAGUGAAGGGAUGUUAAAUCUUCAGCCCCAAGUUGUGAGCACAAGGAAUCUUCGGCCCCAUGGUGUGAGGCCCUUUAGCUUCCUGCUUGCCAGUGUCUUAUCUGGCUGGGGCAACAAGGCCUCCUGCAGCAACUCUCCUUACUCCCAGCACGGGACUCAGGUUCCCACUCACUGAGGUGUUUCCACACCGUGAUGUCCC